GGAGGGAAAACACAAUGACCCAUUGGCGGACGGGUGAGUAACGCGUAGGGAACCUGGCCCUUACAGGGGGAUAACAGAUGGAAACAACUGCUAAUACCGCAUAAGCGCCCAGCCUCGCAUGAGGCAGAGUGAAAAACUAAGGUGGUAAGGGAUGGCCCUGCGUCCGAUUAGCUAGUUGGUAUGGUAACGGCAUACCAAGGCGACGAUCGGUAGCCGGCCUGAGAGGGUGGACGGCCACAUUGGGACUGAGACACGGCCCAAACUCCUACGGGAGGCAGCAGUGGGGGAUAUUGCACAAUGGGGGAAACCCUGAUGCAGCGACACCGCGUGGGUGAAGAAGCGCUUCGGCGUGUAAAGCCCUAUCAGUGGGGAAGAAAAAGGACGGUACCCAAAGAAGAAGCACCGGCUAAAUACGUGCCAGCAGCCGCGGUAAUACGUAUGGUGCAAGCGUUAUCCGGAAUGACUGGGUGUAAAGGGAGCGUAGACGGUUGUACAAGUCUGAUGUGAAAGCCCACGGCUCAACUGUGGGAGUGCAUUGGAAACUGUAGAACUAGAGUAUCGGAGAGGCAAGUGGAAUUCCUAGUGUAGCGGUGAAAUGCGUAGAUAUUAGGAGGAACACCAGUGGCGAAGGCGGCUUGCUGGACGAAAACUGACGUUGAGGCUCGAAAGCGUGGGGAGCAAACAGGAUUAGAUACCCUGGUAGUCCACGCUGUAAACGAUGAAUACUAGGUGUUGGGGCCCGAAGGGCGUCGGUGCCG
rnacentral:rRNA from 1 species